rnacentral:rRNA from 1 species
UACGUAGGGUGCAAGCGUUGUCCGGAUUUAUUGGGCGUAAAGAGCUCGUAGGCGGUCUGUCGCGUCUGCUGUGAAAUCCCGGGGCUCAACUCCGGGCUUGCAGUGGAUACGGGCAGACUAGAGUUCGGUAGGGGAGACUGGAAUUCCUGGUGUAGCGGUGAAAUGCGCAGAUAUCAGGAGGAACACCGGUGGCGAAGGCGGGUCUCUGGGCCGUUACUGGACGCUGAGACGCGAAAGCGUGGGGAGCAAACAGG